GGAAUGGUUGGCGUAGCGGCAAAGUCUCGGCUUGGUAAGCCGAAGGUCCCGGGUUCGAUUCCCGUUGGGUCCG
rfam:Habropoda laboriosa contig13342, whole genome shotgun sequence.